ACAUCGUGACAAAGGGAGAUUAUCGAACAAGUAUUUCACUACCCCCCAAAAUUAUAUAUACUGUGUUGGACAAAUUCUUCAGAAAUUGUCCCUCUUGCGCCUUUAAGUCAGGGGUGUCCAAACUCAGUCCUCAAGGGCCGCUGUGCUGCCUGUUUUCCAUUUGAACCAGGUGUGUCGCAGCCAGGAGUGAUGAAAAACAGGCAGCGCAGUGGCCCUCCAGGCCCGGAGAUGGACAUGCCUGCUUUAAAGUGUUCUCGCAAC